rnacentral:rRNA from 1 species
AGAUGGCGACCGGCGCACGGGUGAGUAACACGUAUCCAACCUGCCGAUAACUCGGGGAUAGCCUUUCGAAAGAAAGGUUAAUACCCGAUGGUAUAAUCAGACCGCAUGGUUUGAUUAUUAAAGAAUUUCGGUUAUCGAUGGGGAUGCGUUCCAUUAGGCAGUUGGUGAGGUAACGGCUCACCAAACCUUCGAUGGAUAGGGGUUCUGAGAGGAAGGUCCCCCACAUUGGAACUGAGACACGGUCCAA